AUGAGAAGGAGAAAGAGAAGAACAAGUCAAAAUCUUCAAGCAAGGAGAAAGGUGAUUCCAUCAAAGUGGAAAAGAUGGAGAAAAGCUCUUCCGGGAGCAAAAAGGAGUCCAGGCACGAUAAGGAAAAAACAGAGAAGAAAGAAAAACGGGAUAGUACUGGGAACAAAGAAGAAAAGAAACACCAUAAAUCUUCAGACAAGCACAGAUAAUGAGCACUGUUCUGACCAAGGUGAGCAUAAUUGUUUUGGGACUUCUCUUUUUUUUUUAAUUACAUUUAUAUGCCACCCUUCUCCGAAGACUCAGGGCGGCUUACAAUUUUUGGGACACAACGCAAUGCACUUAGCAGUAUCAUUCAUUGGAGAGGAAAGCAAGUAGUUGCACCUCAUUCCUGUUGAGAAUGGCUUUGAAGGAAUUGGGUGUUUCAUGAAGGCAUGCGCCCUGAGAUGAUUGUAUAAACGGCCUUGUAUUUAAAUCAGAAGGUAAAUUUAGGGUUGCAAUAUUUUUGAUAGUCCAUUCCCAUAAUUAUAUCCUGUCCUGUCAUCCUAAUGGCCAAGGUUUGGAAACUCCUCUAGAUGAACCCUAAAUUCACUUCAUGUCAGAUGUGAAGAAUCAGAACCAUAUGUUAAACCUACACACAAGAAUCUAAUCAACUAACAGUCAUCACUAAAUUGGGGCUAAAUAGGAGUCAACAGAAUGCAAGGGGGAGCUGAACUUAGUGCAUUUGUGGACACGUAACGAUUCUAGGCUAAGUCCUCUCUUGACUCCACUCCCAGGCUCUGUCCCUUCUUCUCCUACACUUCAGUUGCAUAUUAGUAAAGGUAAAGGUUCCCCUCGCACAUAUGUGCUAGUCGUUUCCGGCUCUAGGGGGUGGUGCUCAUCUCCGUUACAAAGCCGAAGAGCCAGCGCUGUCCGAAGACGUCUCCGUGGUCAUGUGGCCAGCAUGACUAAACGCCGAAGGCGCACGGAACGUUGUUCCCUUCCCACCAAAGUGGUCCCUAUUUUACUACUUGCAUUUUUUACGUGCUUUUGAACUGCUAAGUUGGCAGAAGCUGGGAUAAGUAACGGGAGCUCACUCCAUUCCGCGGCACUAGGGAUUCGAACUGCUGAACUGCCGACCUUUCUGAUCGACAAGCUCAGCAUCUUAGCCACUGAGCCACCGCGUCCCAAUAGUUGCAUAUUAGCUCUACUUUAUUGAGUGAAUUGGAUCAGUGGCGGAUCAUCCUUGCUACUUAAGCUUGUUUCAGUUUCUGCUUCUUUCUUGAAACCUACCUUAGUCAUUGUACUUCUCUCUCUCUCUCUUUUAGGUGAGGUUCAGACAAGAAGAUGGUGAGCUGUGACCAGACAUAAAUUUUGAUUGCACAGAAGAUUGUGAACGAAGCGGACCUGUCUCCAUCUCCUUAACUUAUUCACCUCUCUGCUUUAUUUCUCUCCCAUUGCUGAAGAUGUUGAUGGUUGAGUUGUACAUUACUGUAAUUUUAAGUCGUCGCUUAAGUUUCUUAAAACAUUUAUUUUCAGUACUGUCUGGAAGUGUUACCUGUUCCGUAUUUUUUAGCACAAUGUGCUGCCAACAGUUGCCAUCGUGCAAAUGAGGGUUUUUCCCCACAUGUACAGAGUUCUUACUUUAGGUUAAUCAAAAAUACUUCCUCCGUUUAGCCAUAUUAUUAUUAUUAUUAUUAUUAUUAUUAUUAUUAUUAUUAUUAGUUUUUAUUUUCAAUUGGAAAUGCGUUAUUUUAGGUGUUUGAAAAAAAAAGAAGACAAACCCAACAACCAAUAAAAAGAGUUAUUGAACAUUUGGAUUUUUACCUCAUUUAAAGAAAAAUCCAGUUUUUAUUUAUUGUUUUUAAUAUUGAUAACUAAAACCAUGGGGGGAGGGGCACUUUUCAAGCAAUGCUGAGGAAAGUAUUUGUAUAUUAUGUGCACAACAGUGAAGUUGUUUAAAAAGAGAGAGAGAGAAGAAAGGAAACAGAGGAAUACCCCAUGCUCUGUUAUUCCGCAUGAUGCUCCUUAACGUUUGUCAUAAUGUUUUUAAAGAAAUGGGGAAAACUGCUUUCUUCCGAACAUGAAUUCAGACCAAUUAGGUUUCAAUAUUACAGCUACAGGAACUUUGUAUCGGUGGGACUUUUAGUCCAAAAAAAAAAUAAUAAAAAAUGAAAACAAAAAUGAAAAAAAAAAAAAAAAAAGUUUCACAAUGACCUUUUUAAAAAAAAACAAACAGACAAAACAAUUUUUUUAUCUGAAAUUCUACCAGUGUAAUCUUUUUUCUAAAUAAAAAAUAGUUUUCU
rnacentral:lncRNA from 1 species